UACAGAGGGUGCAAACGUUGCUCGGAAUUAUUGGGCGUAAAGCGCACGUAGGCGGUCCAGUAAGUCGGUUGUGAAAGCCCUCGGCUUAACCGAGGAAGUGCAGUCGAAACUGCUGGACUUGAGUACUGAAGAGGGUCGCGGAAUUCCCGGUGUAGAGGUGAAAUUCGUAGAUAUCGGGAGGAACACCAGUGGCGAAGGCGGCGACCUGGGCAGAUACUGACGCUGAGGCACGAAGGCCAGGGGAGCAAACGGG
rnacentral:rRNA from 1 species